rnacentral:rRNA from 1 species
CGGGACACGUGGUAUCCUGUCUGAAUAUGGGGGGACCAUCCUCCAAGGCUAAAUACUCCUGACUGACCGAUAGUGAACCAGUACCGUGAGGGAAAGGCGAAAAGAACCCCGGCGAGGGGAGUGAAAAAGAACCUGAAACCGUGUACGUACAAGCAGUGGGAGCACGCUUAGGCGUGUGACUGCGUACCUUUUGUAUAAUGGGUCAGCGACUUAUAUUCUGUAGCAAGGUUAACCGAAUAGGGGAGCCGAAGGGAAACCGAGUCUUAACUGGGCGUUAAGUUGCAGGGUAUAGACCCGAAACCCGGUGAUCUAGCCAUGGGCAGGUUGAAGGUUGGGUAACACUAACUGGAGGACCGAACCGACUAAUGUUGAAAAAUUAGCGGAUGACUUGUGGCUGGGGGUGAAAGGCCAAUCAAACCGGGAGAUAGCUGGUUCUCCCCGAAAGCUAUUUAGGUAGCGCCUCGUGAAUUCAUCUCCGGGGGUAGAGCACUGUUUCGGCAAGGGGGUCAUCCCGACUUACCAACCCGAUGCAAACUGCGAAUACCGGAGAAUGUUAUCACGGGAGACACACGGCGGGUGCUAACGUCCGUCGUGAAGAGGGAAACAACCCAGACCGCCAGCUAAGGUCCCAAAGUCAUGGUUAAGUGGGAAACGAUGUGGGAAGGCCCAGACAGCCAGGAUGUUGGCUUAGAAGCAGCCAUCAUUUAAAGAAAGCGUAAUAGCUCACUGGUCGAGUCGGCCUGCGCGGAAGAUGUAACGGGGCUAAACCAUGCACCGAAGCUGCGGCAGCGACGCUGAUGCGUUGUUGGGUAGGGGAGCGUUCUGUAAGCCUGUGAAGGUGUGCUGUGAGGCAUGCUGGAGGUAUCAGAAGUGCGAAUGCUGACAUAAGUAACGAUAAAGCGGGUGAAAAGCCCGCUCGCCGGAAGACCAAGGGUUCCUGUCCAACGUUAAUCGGGGCAGGGUGAGUCGACCCCUAAGGCGAGGCCGAAAGGCGUAGUCGAUGGGAAACAGGUUAAUAUUCCUGUACUUGGUGUUACUGCGAAGGGGGGACGGAGAAGGCUAUGUUGGCCGGGCGACGGUUGUCCCGGUUUAAGCGUGUAGGCUGGUUUUCCAGGCAAAUCCGGAAAAUCAAGGCUGAGGCGUGAUGACGAGGCACUACGGUGCUGAAGCAACAAAUGCCCUGCUUCCAGGAAAAGCCUCUAAGCAUCAGGUAACAUCAAAUCGUACCCCAAACCGACACAGGUGGUCAGGUAGAGAAUACCAAGGCGCUUGAGAGAACUCGGGUGAAGGAACUAGGCAAAAUGGUGCCGUAACUUCGGGAGAAGGCACGCUGAUAUGUAGGUGAAGCGACUUGCUCGUGGAGCUGAAAUCAGUCGAAGAUACCAGCUGGCUGCAACUGUUUAUUAAAAACACAGCACUGUGCAAACACGAAAGUGGACGUAUACGGUGUGACGCCUGCCCGGUGCCGGAAGGUUAAUUGAUGGGGUCAGCGCAAGCGAAGCUCUUGAUCGAAGCCCCGGUAAACGGCGGCCGUAACUAUAACGGUCCUAAGGUAGCGAAAUUCCUUGUCGGGUAAGUUCCGACCUGCACGAAUGGCGUAAUGAUGGCCAGGCUGUCUCCACCCGAGACUCAGUGAAAUUGAACUCGCUGUGAAGAUGCAGUGUACCCGCGGCAAGACGGAAAGACCCCGUGAACCUUUACUAUAGCUUGACACUGAACAUUGAGCCUUGAUGUGUAGGAUAGGUGGGAGGCUUUGAAGUGUGGACGCCAGUCUGCAUGGAGCCGGCCUUGAAAUACCACCCUUUAAUGUUUGAUGUUCUAACGUUGACCCGUGAUCCGGGUUGCGGACAGUGUCUGGUGGGUAGUUUGACUGGGGCGGUCUCCUCCUAAAGAGUAACGGAGGAGCACGAAGGUUGGCUAAUCCUGGUCGGACAUCAGGAGGUUAGUGCAAUGGCAUAAGCCAGCUUGACUGCGAGCGUGACGGCGCGAGCAGGUGCGAAAGCAGGUCAUAGUGAUCCGGUGGUUCUGAAUGGAAGGGCCAUCGCUCAACGGAUAAAAGGUACUCCGGGGAUAACAGGCUGAUACCGCCCAAGAGUUCAUAUCGACGGCGGUGUUUGGCACCUCGAUGUCGGCUCAUCACAUCCUGGGGCUGAAGUAGGUCCCAAGGGUAUGGCUGUUCGCCAUUUAAAGUGGUACGCGAGCUGGGUUUAGAACGUCGUGAGACAGUUCGGUCCCUAUCUGCCGUGGGCGCUGGAGAACUGAGGGGGGCUGCUCCUAGUACGAGAGGACCGGAG